rnacentral:snRNA from 1 species
UCGCCGCCGCAGAAGGAGAG